CUACGGGAGGCAGCAGUAAGGGAUAUUGGUCAAUGGGCGCAAGCCUGAACCAGCAACGCCGCGUGCAGGAUGACGGCCUUCGGGUUGUAAACUGCUUUUCUCAGGGACGAGCGAGGACGGUACCUGAGGAAUAAGUCACGGCUAGCUACGUGCCAGCAGCCGCGGUAACACGUAGGUGGCGAGCGUUAUCCGGAUUUACUGGGCGUAAAGCGUGUGCAGACUGGGUAGCAAGUGGUGUAUGAAAGGGUGAGGCUCAACCUCACGAGGGUAUGCCAGACUGCUGCUCUAGAGUGCGAGAGAGGGAUGUGGAAUUCCGGGUGUAGUGGUGAAAUGCGUAGAGAUCCGGAGGAACCCCAGAGGCGCAAGCGGCGUCCUGGCUCGCAACUGACGUUCAGACACGACAGCAUGGGGAGCGAACGGUAUUAGAAACCCUUGUAGUCC
rnacentral:rRNA from 1 species